rnacentral:rRNA from 1 species
GACGAACGCUGGCGGCGUGCUUAACACAUGCAAGUCGAACGGAAAGGCCCUGCUUGCAGGGUACUCGAGUGGCGAACGGGUGAGUAACACGUGGGUGAUCUGCCCUGCACUUCGGGAUAAGCCUGGGAAACUGGGUCUAAUACCGGAUAGGAGCCAUUUUUAGUGUGAUGGUUGGAAAGUUUUUUCGGUGUAGGAUGAGCUCGCGGCCUAUCAGCUUGUUGGUGGGGUAAUGGCCUACCAAGGCGGCGACGGGUAGCCGGCCUGAGAGGGUGGACGGCCACAGUGGGACUGAGAUACGGCCCAGACUCCUACGGGAGGCAGCAGUGGGGAAUAUUGCACAAUGGGCGCGAGCCUGAUGCAGCGACGCCGCGUGGGGGAUGACGGCCUUCGGGUUGUAAACUCCUUUCGCUAGGGACGAAGCUUUUUGUGACGGUACCUAGAUAAGAGGCACCGGCUAACUACGUG